CUGCCUGUGAUAUUCCCAUAUUUCAGCACCAUCUGUGUCUCUUUCUCACGCUCUCUCUCCGCUCCCCGUCUCCCCGCACACGCAUGCGUCAAGCGGUAGCCUGUAACAAGAAGAUUUCCAUCAUAUCUUUCUUUACAACCCCUGAAAUUAUCGUUAGAAAAAAAUGCCCGUUUUGGGAGAAAAACCCUCCUCACCCCGACCCACAGAACAAUGUAGCCCACAGCUGAAGGACGCCUCCGACUUUUUUCAAUACAAGCGCCGACCGGAUGCCUGCAAAGAGAAAAAGCUCCUCAAAUCCUCCCAAUCGGCAGGCUAUGAUGUUCACCAGCAGCCAUGAGGGCUACCAGUGGCUCCAUGAGUCUGAACCUCAAGACUUGGUGGAAAGCCCAUGAGUCCGUGAGUCAGAAGUUGCGUCCUGAAUUAUGAAGUGGGAAACCUUCCUUGGACAAACAGCUGCAUUUGAAAUCUGAGCUGCACUGUAGGUAUUGUAAAAUCAAAAACAGAGACAACUCAACUGUGGAAGAAAAAAAAAAUAGGCCGUUAAAGAAUGUAGAAGCUUUUGAAGCCAGACACACUGAUGGAGAAAAAAAAUACAAUUCUACAAAUCUGUAUCAGUGAAUGAUUAAUUAAUUUUGGUUGAAUGAUCUGUUCCAGCCUUGUGAGAUAUCAGUUUCCAUUUCUUUCACACUUUUACAGAAGAUCUCAAGAGACCGCUAGUUCAAAAGACAGUUCAAUUUAGAGUUCCCACUGGAAAUGCUUUCAGAAAGUCUCUGCCAUACGUUGGGCUUUGAUGUGUUUUAACUGUCGUAAUCUCACUGUUCAGAGAUGGGGAAAAUAAAUUCUGUUAAUUUUU